AAAUAAAACGCGCACAAAUGAGCAAGGACUUGGAACGAGAAUAUACCGAAUAUUAAAACGCAGUGUUCAAAUAAGUACUAAAUCGUAACAAUGUGCAAAUCUUAGGGAAAAUGUAAAAAACAAAUAAAUCCUAAUUGAGACCUAAUUAGAGAUCAGUGCAGGAGGGGAGGGCUAUGUGCGCAAAUAUCCCGUCAAUAAGGGAUCCAUUGGAAUUGGCUUUACACGGUACCGUUUCAUCUUGUUUAUAAAGGGAAAAAAAAAAAACCUAAAUUACUAACAAAGGAGAAAAGACAGAAGCAUUCUAAUUUUUCCCUCUCCAUUCGGCCAAUCUCCAUAGCCCCUUAUUCUCAUGUUCUUGCUUCAAUUUGAGUAGUGGUGCAGGGGAGCCAUGGAGGAUCAAACCUUGAGAACUCUACUUCAAUUUCGAAACAUCAUCCCUACUUCGAUUGCGACGAAGAAGACGGGUCUCGACCACUAAGGUGUGUAUGGCGUGGAGGAGUCGUUCGUGGAGCAUGGCACGAGUGGAAGAAUCGGCUAGAGCAGGGGCGAAGCCAGAAAAAAAAUUUUGGGGGGGCCGAAGGAAAUUUUAAUUUUUUAUAGUCUAUAUAUUUAUAAUUUUUAAAGGAUUAAAUUGAAUUUUUAUAAUUUUAGGGGGGCCAAAGUGUAAUUUUACCUUUACUAAUUUAAAAUUUUAAAAAAAUCUAAAGGGCCUAAAUGAAAA